GCCUGGCUGGCUCGGUGGGUAGAGCAUGCGACUCCCAAUCUCAGGAUCAUGAGUUCAAGCCUUACGUCGGGCA
rnacentral:tRNA from 1 species